rnacentral:rRNA from 1 species
AGAGUUUGAUCCUGGCUCAGGACGAACGCUGGCGGCGUGCCUAACACAUGCAAGUCGAACGGAGAAUUUUAUUUCGGUAGAAUUCUUAGUGGCGAACGGGUGAGUAACGCGUAGGCAACCUGCCCUUUAGACGGGGACAACAUUCCGAAAGGAGUGCUAAUACCGGAUGUGAUCAUCGUGCCGCAUGGCAGGAUGAAGAAAGAUGGCCUCUACAAGUAAGCUAUCGCUAAAGGAUGGGCCUGCGUCUGAUUAGCUAGUUGGUAGUGUAACGGACUACCAAGGCGAUGAUCAGUAGCCGGUCUGAGAGGAUGAACGGCCACAUUGGGACUGAGACACGGCCCAAACUCCUACGGGAGGCAGCAGUGGGGAAUCUUCCGCAAUGGACGAAAGUCUGACGGAGCAACGCCGCGUGAGUGAUGAAGGAUUUCGGUCUGUAAAGCUCUGUUGUUUAUGACGAACGUGCAGUGUGUGAACAAUGCAUUGCAAUGACGGUAGUAAACGAGGAAGCCACGGCUAACUACGUGCCAGCAGCCGCGGUAAUACGUAGGUGGCGAGCGUUGUCCGGAAUUAUUGGGCGUAAAGAGCAUGUAGGCGGCUUAAUAAGUCGAGCGUGAAAAUGCGGGGCUCAACCCCGUGAUGGCGCUGGAAACUGUUAGGCUUGAGUGCAGGAGAGGAAAGGGGAAUUCCCAGUGUAGCGGUGAAAUGCGUAGAUAUUGGGAGGAACACCAGUGGCGAAGGCGCCUUUCUGGACUGUGUCUGACGCUGAGAUGCGAAAGCCAGGGUAGCGAACGGGAUUAGAUACCCCGGUAGUCCUGGCCGUAAACGAUGGGUACUAGGUGUAGGAGGUAUCGACCCCUUCUG